rnacentral:lncRNA from 1 species
ACGAUCGAUGGAUGACUUCGACCGACGUCCGACUCUACCGACCGCACUGAUCGACGACUGUCGAUAGUAGCUGUCGACAUUGUUCGACUGAAGGAGUGUCGGUCGAACUGACCCAUGCUGUUCCUGACUGAUCGAGCGGCCAAACCCAUAUUACCGACUCACUGUCGGAGGUGGCAGCCGAUGUUCGACUUAAGCAAGACACC